rnacentral:misc_RNA from 1 species
AAAGAGGCAAUGCAGCAGUGGGAGGAUGACUGGGAUGAUGAUGAUGUGAGUGAUGACUUCUCACUGCAGCUGAGGAGGGAGCUGGAGAGCAAUUCUGAUAAGAAGGAUAAUCCCAAGGAGGGAGGAGAGCCAAUGCAGACCAAAAACUAGUUACUGCUGAUUCUAGUCAUUCGCCCGUUGUGUUUAUCUCCUACAUUUCCUUAAGCUGCUUACAGUAUAUGGUUGUACUUUUAAUUUCAUAACUUGUCUUUGGUCUGAUGUUU